AGCUUUGCGCAGUGGCAGUAUUGUAGCCAAUGAGGUUUAUUUGAGGCGCAAUUAUUGCUAAUUGAAAAUUAUUGCUAAUUGA
rnacentral:snRNA from 1 species